CCUCCCCGCAGCGGCGGCGGCGGGCGGCUGGGGCGGGGGACAGGGCGGGCGGGCUCGCACCGCCCCCGCUCGCCCGGCCUCUGCGUCCCCCUUGCGUCCCGUCAGCCGCGUCACUCCGGUUCGUGGUGCUGCCGGCGUUGCACGUGUGCCAGGGAGUAAGCCCCAAAUAAGUGCUGCGGAGGUGAAUCAUACUGCAAAAAGGAUCUUGCUUUUCCCUCCGCAGGAGGAGAUGGGGAAGUCAGAGUCGUCCUGCUGGAGAGUUUUCCUGUCAUCUCAGUUCAGCCCCAUUCCUGCUGUCUCUGGAUGGUUCACUGUAGCCACAGCACUCUGACCUGACACAUCCAUGUCACAGUGCCUUUUCCACACCGAUCCCAACGCCAAGCCAAGCCUCCCUAUGAUGCAAGUUGGAAACUUUACCAAAGCCCACGGACCAGCAGUGAAUAAUGUCAGCCAGAGAUCUGGCUCACAAAGUUCUUAAUGCCUUUAAGGUAGCAAGGCCAAAUGGUAAGCAAGUGGUGUUUUACAGUCUCCGUGGAUACACAAAACAUGGAAGAUUAAGGACAGAGCAGCCUGGGCUUUGCCAGAGACCCAGCCAAAAGAAAGGCCGAGCAGAGGCUUGCGAGACAAUAGAGGAAGCUUGCUGAGCUUCCCAAAACCAGCUGCACUCUAGCUUUCCAAGCUGCACGAGUCCACCCCAAGCCCCAGGAGCACUCGCCUUGCCUGGGAUUACGUGUCAUGUUAUCCAGAUGUUGGAAAUCUUGCUUCAAGCGCAUGUGACCCCGUGUGUUUGGAACAAGCCUCCACUGCCAGUUCACUCUUUAUUUGUUUCCAAGUGUGUGAAUUCCUCUUUUAGCUUGUGGUUUCUGCUGAAGAAGCAGAUAAAUCAUGGCUAUUUUGCUGGAAUGGCUGGAUGAGAGGGAGGUAGGCAUGUAGGACAUACAGGGCAGUGGCUCACGGCUGUUUGGCUUCUUUCACACAAGGGGUGGAGCCUCCUUUCCCGGUUCCCAGAACUUAUUCUCUGAUGCUUGGCUCUCUCCCCAACCUCUUCCAGUGCCACAGUGUUGCACAGGGUGCCCAGCCCCAUCAGAGCAGGCGUUUUUCCCUGUGUGCACACAAACCCUCAGGAAAGCAGCCUCCUGAGCUAGUACCUUCAUGAUAUCCCAGGAGCCAGAUGGGGCAUCAGCAGCUUGCCGAUGCCAAAACAAAUCAUGUUGCAGCAGCAGGAGGGGACCUUGGCUCUUGGCUGUACCGAGGGACCCAGGCCAGCUGCAGACCUCUGCCCCAACCCCAGCUGAGUGUCCCGCUGCCUCUGCGUGUUGGUUCCACAUCUGGAGCCGGCACAGCUUGCCCUCGCUCCCCAUCCCGCCCGUCUGGAAUCCAGGUCACUUGCACGAGGACCUCUUUUACACUGGCUUCUUGUGCCUGGAGGCUGGGACAGCAGGGAAACCAGGGGGAACAGGGAGAAACCACCUUCAGUCAAGGAAAACAGAACUCUUAAAAAAAUACAGCUACAAAGUAACCCAGCUCUAGAAGCAGAAGGUUUGACGUGGAUGGUCGAUGCACAAAUGAACUCGAGUUCACUGCCAAGGCUUACUGCAGAGAAAGUAGUAAACAGAACAGCUUACAGCACCUUUGGGGUUAUACAGUUCCCUUCUUCAUCUCCAGCACUUGCAGAUGAUUUCCCCACAUGUUGUCCCUUAACAUCCACCCACUCCCGCCUUCUUUUUGGCCCAGGCUGGUCGGGAAGACCUCAGGCAAACGGUGCCAAAGCGAACUCGUCAUAUUUGGGGAGCAAGCAGUUGGGAGGAGAAGUCACCCUUGCUGUAACCUGGCUGUGAGCCUGGCCCUGCCCGUGGGUCCUCAGGAAUGCUGCAGCAGAAAGGUGGUGGCUGGGGGGGAAAUCCUUCAGUGCUGUGGUGAGAUGACCUCAGGACUGGAGUCAAACAGUGGCUUGGUGGCCACACAGGCUGUCUUUUGCGUAGACUACAGAGGGUCAGCAGGGCUUUGUUGCUUGAUAAAUCCAGUUCAGGUCCAGGAUACCUCUGCCCAACAGCUGUGAGCCCUCCUGCUUCCUUCAGCAUGCUCAGUGAUUGCCAACAUUUGGAAAAAUCAAACUCGGGUGUGUCUGUGAGUGCAGCUGCCAUGCUGAUUAACUAAAUCUCCUUUCUGACUCAGGUCUGGGAUUGUCUUUCUGCCAAAUGAUCCAGGGGCAGCAUGGAAUGGGAUGUCUCCACAGCACUGGCACCAGACAGUGCUUCCAGAUAGUCUGAGCUGUGCAAACCCAAGGACAGGUGAUGAUGAUGACGGGGAGCCUUAAGCCAGGGCAGCUCACAGGAAAAUAUUUUUCUUCUCCCCUCACAGGAUAUGAACCACACAUGGAAGUCUCAUGCUUUGUAAAAGGAAAGAGAAACCAGAGGGCCUCCAGCAGUUACACAACAUGCAGGAGCUGUUUGAGAGCUGCCUCCUGAAGGAUUAACUACAAAUCCUUGUUCCCUUUACAGCUGUAGCCUUGUGUCUGUGCACAUCCUGUAAAGCAGCGUAGAAAUUAAUAAAUAAAAAGGACAGCAUUAAGUAACACAGGAACUCUCGUGUCCAUGUGGUACUGCCUGCAUCAUCCAGAUGGAAAGUAUCUGUCUAGACAAAUCUGGGAAUUAUGCAAGCUCAGAAUUCCUGAAUAGGUCUUCCUUUCAAACAUCAUGAAACAUUUGCAGUGCCCACUGAAAAUACUCACAGAAACACAGGGGGGAAUGAAACCCUUCAAUUCCAACAGCCAGGAAACCUAAACACUAGGAGUAUGUUGGAUGAGAGAAGGUCUUAGUGCAGGAAUAUGGAGUAGUGUCCCUGCUGUGUGCAUGCUGACUCAUCCCUGAGGAGCCAGGAUGAUCCCUGGUGCUCCCUCCUGUCUCAGCAGAAGCGGAGCAGGCUCCGUUGGGCUUCUUGUGGUUCUCUGCUGCCUGAUGCCCUGGAAAAGGCGCAGAGUCGCUUGUUUCCACUUUUCCAAAGCUGUUUGUUUCCACGGUGCUCAGACAAGCAGAAGGAAUGAAAACAAAGAGGGAAAGAUGGGCUGUCCUGGUUCAAACCACAACAGCAUAAAAAUAAAUCACUCUGCCUAGGAGAGCAAAAAAAAAAGCAGGACGGAAACAUGGAAAUCCCACUCUGGCUCGGCAGCUGCUGCUGGCUCUGAUCAACACCCAGGGAUCACCGGGGCUGGGAGUUUAGCACAACUCUAGAGUUGUAGUGACCCUUUUUGGUGUUCUUGGGAAACAACGGCCCAGCCAGAGGAGACAGAAGAAUGGAGCAGCCAGGAACUCUCCCUGCAGAGCAGUGCAACCCAGGGAAAAGAUGACACAAUUCUGAAUAUUAUAUGGAGAAAAAUAAUUUUUUAAAAAGCACAGGUCAUGAUCCAGCAGUUAUCCAGUUUCUGGCAGUUUUAUCACUGACUCCAGGGGGACAGGUUCAAACCUUCCACAGGUGCAUCCAAACAGAAUCAUCACUUGUGUUCAGUUUGGGGUCACACUGGAGGAAAAGGGGCUGACAUUUAUCCAUCUGGCCUGGCCCCUUUGGCCCUGCAAAGGAGAGCAAGAGAGAGCAUUGUGUCAGUUCUGUCCUGCCAGGCCCAGGAGAGAAAGAGUAAAGAGCUACUGGGAGGUUGAGUGAUAAAACAACUGCUUGUACCACUGUUUGGGGGCACUCAGGGCAACAUUUAUGCAGGGCCAGGGGGGCUGCAGCAGGACAUCGUGCCUGAGCCACCGUUGGAUCAGCAGCCUGGAAAGCAGAUGUGCCAAUUUCCUGUCCUUGAUGAUGAUGGGCCCUAAUUACGCCAGAACUGUGGCAAUGUCCUUUCUAGUGUAUGACCCCUAAUUUGGUUUCAUGAAGUCAUCUGUGCCAGGUUCUUCCGGCUGCAAGGCUGGGGUGAGUGACAGUCACGAAGAGCCGUGUGCUCUGUGCGCCCAAACACCUGGCCCAUGCUUUGAUCGAACAAAAUUCUACUGGGAACAAACAAAAUUCAGGCAACCCACUGGGAGCUGGGUCGUUUGCUUGGCUUGCUUUACCUCUUGCAGGUUAUCAUGCCUGCUGACAGGGAGCUGUGUGCUGGGGGGAACAUCCCAAGACAGGUGUUGGUACUCAGCAGAGACCAGCACUUCAGAGAGGCUUGUGGGGGGAAGAAUUUUGGAAGUGGAGGGGAAAAUCCCUCCCCCUUUGUUUUCCCACCAGAGAGAUUCCCUUGCUAGCAUUGCUGCUGGUGCUUUUUUCAACUUUUCACCAUUCCUUUCCAUGGUUUUGGCCAGUUUAUUUAGGGCUUUUUUUCCCCUUUUCCCCCCUCAUUUUCUGUCCCACUCAUAAUUCCCCAAUUUUGAAGAUUGCCAGCAGAGCAAUUUUUUAGUUUAUGUAUCAAAACAGAGGCUUUUAUAAGUUUGGGAGAGGCUUUUGGGAUGGCAUUGUGGGAGGUUUUUCAGCUUUGAGGAAGCUUCUUGGUGUUUAGAAUACUUUUCGUUUUUCUUUCCUUCUUUUCCCCAGGAGCUCUUUGUGGAAUUAGACAUUUGUCUUUCAAUGUAGAUCCUGCUUUGCAUGGGUGGGGUCACUGCUCCUGAGCCCAGCCACAUGCCCCAGCAACUGUUUGUCGUUCCUUGAUUGUGGGGCUCUGAUUAUUGUACCAGCAGCUCCCAUCUCUGGGAUCCCCAAACCUGGGGAUCACCUGGGCUUGCUGCUGCUGCUGCUGGGAGAAGAUGAUGCUUGGGCAUUUGGCACAGAGGUGCCGUGGAAGUUUGAAGGGCAGUGAGAGGAGGAGGUACUGCUCCCAGGACAUCAGGGAUGUGCAGCAGGGGCUUGGUGGCCGCGUGGCACCUGCUUCUUCCUAUGCCUGGUGGAGCAGGUGCUGUCCUGAGGAAGACAUGGUGCUGGCACAGGUGGGACUGGGGUCUGGCCUGUGGGAGCCUGCUGCAGUAAAGAGCUGGAGAAGCAGGGUUUGGGGCUGUGUAGCACUAAGAGGAGCAGGUGGAGAGAUGCCAGACUUUUGGUGGAGUUUCUGCGGGGACCUGCCUGCAGAUAAGAGGCAGUGCACAUGGGAGGAGGGCUGGCUGGAGGUGAUGCUGCCAUGAAAGGGGAUGGAGGCUCCACAGUGGGACUGGGUGGCAGCUUGUGCCACCUGGAAGCUGAAGAAGGGCUCUGACCUGCUUUUUGUUGCAAGUGAGGGAAGGAGCACUGUGGAGUGAGGCUCUAGGUGCUGGGCAUGCAGAGUGGGAGGGACUGGAGAGUCGUUGUGAGGGGUCAGACAGCUCUGAGGAAUGCUUGAGCAGGUCCUUGUGACAUGGCCAGUGUGGGAAGAGCAGAACUUCCAAAUGUCCCUGCUGGUCCAAGAUACCAUGUACACACUGGGGUGGAUGGAUCUGGGAUCAGUGUGAGAAGGAUUGCCCUCUGUGGGUGCACAGCUGCUCAGGGACAGGCUGGCUGUGUGCCUGAGGCUGGGAGAGGCAUGCAGCAGGGUGUAGGGGAACUUUGUCACCACACAGCUGAGUGCUGGGGCAGGACAGCCAGAGUGGCUUGGUUGAGAUCACAGUCACAGAAUAUUCCGAGUUGGAACGGACCCAUGAGGAUCACUGAGUCCAGUUCUUGAGUAAAUGGCCCAUGUGGGGAUGGAACCCACAUCCCUGGCAUUUUAAGCACCAGGCUCUCAAGAACCGAGCUAAUUUGGGGUCAGCUCACUUCAAGGUUUUAAGACCCAACUAGAUUUUUGAUCUGGUCUUGGUGUUGGCCCUGCUUUGAGCAGGAGGUAAAACCAUCCGAGGUUCUUUCCAACAUAACUGGGUGAUUUUCCUUCUUGCCUACAGCCCCUGCACUUGGCUGCAGCACCAUUCCUCUGCCCUGUGUAAUCUCAGGUUAGUGAAGAUUUGUACACCAAACUCCAGCCAGACUGUCUAGAGGAUGUGCCUGGGGAAACAUCACUUUGAGAAGGAUUUUGUGCUCCUGCCCUCACAAGAACCGUCAGAACCAGCUGUGCUUCAGAGAAUGAGCCAGAGUCACCGUGGGCUUGGAGAGGUACUAGGUGCGCAGAGAGCAAAAGAAAUGGGAGAUGGUGUCAGCUGCAGUGAGUAAGCAAAUGUUCCAGGUAGAUGGGGUUUGUUUGGAACCAGGCUAAUGCUCUGCAGUUAGAGUUAUGCCCUUAGAAAUAAAGUUUACUUGGGAACUCAUCAGCAAGGAUCAGUGUGCCAGCAAUGCUUGUCCCCCUCGGGACUGCAUUGCAAUCUCAGCCUGUGUUCUCAGCACCUUCCCUUUCACCUGCCUGCCACCCGGGUGCUGGCUCAGGCUGGAAGCACGGGAAAUGGUGGUCAAUUCUCCACAGUUUGGCUGGGAGAGCGGAACAAUGUGCACCCUGAGUUUGCUGUGCUCAGCACAUUUUGUCCCGUUAGUUUUGGAGCUGCUUUGUAGGCACCAAGUGCAAGGUUGGCCACGGGCAGGAGUUACAGAGAGAGCACAGCUACUCUGAGCUAGAAACAUGACAACUGUUGAUCAGCGCUAUCUGUGCUUAUCUGCAGGAAGUAAGGAAUAACCCCCAUAAAUCCUGUCCUAUAAAUCAAACCCUCCUGAGCUCAGCUCUCAUGAGCCACGUCACAGAUCCUGGAUGAGCAGCAGGGAAAGGUGCAGCUGAGUCACCAGCAGGGAGUCAACACCUUGCUGCCUCAGGGGAGCAGUUUGCACACACAAACAUCAGCCUGCUCUGUCCUUGUCUUCAGGCACACUGUACACACUUUCCCAGAUGGGCAGGUGACAUUAGUGCAAGGUAUGACACUGGAUGUGCAUGUUAGUAACAUGUGUGAGUGAGAAUGCUGAGAGGGGCUGGUGUUGACUAGGAAUCAGCAGGAGAGAUCCUAGAGACUGCUAGCCAGCAUGGGCAUGUGUUAGCAAGGCUGAGUGGCCACAGCUGUGGCACUGGUUCCUUGCAGCCAGGGCAGCAAACCUUGGGGGUUAAUAUUCACUCUUCCAGUUUCAUUUAGACUGGAGUGUCCUGGUGUGAUCACUGGGGGAAAAGAGUGCUUGGAGGGAGGCGUGGAGCAUAAUGCUGCGUCCUGGCAGCACAGGGAAACUGAGUCUGUGCAGCAUCCCGAGGGUCUGGAUACAUCACCCAAACUAACCCUCACCUGGAACUGGAAGCCAGCAUAAAAAUAAUGGCAAUUUUCUCUGGGGCCUUGGCUUGGGUUCUUCCCCCUGUCCUGCUUUACAGAAAUAAUGUGCCAUUCCUGCUGCUGUGUGGUGAGAGACAGUUUCCAUCUUCGGGUGGAGAUUUUAGGGGUGUGCAAUAGGAAGGCUCAACUUUCUGU